UUUCGUAAAAGUUGAACAAAUUGCCCCUUAUGAGGAUGUUCUCAUUACUAGAGGACCAAAUAUGUGAUAGAGAGCUCGUGCUGGAAUGAGGAAAGUGAUGCUACUUAUUGAAGAAAGUUGACAUUGCUCCUUACGUGGAAGCUGAUGCUAGUGUUAGUCUAAUUAUCCUUUUUGGAGUACUAAUUUUGAAAGAUUAGAUACACCUGAUCUAAUUAUCCUAUUUAUGGUGUAGUCAGUAUUUAAGAACUGCUACUUUCUUGCAAUGGGCUGAUUGCUGUUCUUCUGGCAGCUCCAUUGUGAUUCAGUUAUGCGUUAGAUAUUCGGAAGUAGUUUUAAUGGUCUUGUUUGAU
rnacentral:lncRNA from 1 species